rnacentral:rRNA from 1 species
UACAGAGGUCUCAAGCGUUGUUCGGAUUCAUUGGGCGUAAAGGGUGCGUAGGCGGCGCGGUAAGUCGGGUGUGAAAUCUCGGAGCUUAACUCCGAAACUGCAUUCGAUACUGCCGUGCUUGAGGACUGGAGAGGAGACUGGAAUUUACGGUGUAGCGGUGAAAUGCGUAGAUAUCAGGAGGAACACCGGUGGCGAAGGCGGCUUCCUGGGGCCAUCCUGACACUGAGAAGCGAAAGCUAGGGGGAGCGAACAGG